rnacentral:rRNA from 1 species
UAGGGAAUCUUCCGCAAUGGACGCAAGUCUGACGGAGCAACGCCGCGUGAGUGAAGAAGGAUUUCGGUUCGUAAAACUCUGUUGUUAGAGAAGAACAGCGCAUAGAGUAACUGUUAUGCGUGUGACGGUAUCUAACCAGAAAGCCACGGCUAACUACGUGCCAGCAGCCGCGGUAAUACGUAGGUGGCAAGCGUUGUCCGGAUUUAUUGGGCGUAAAGCGAGCGCAGGCGGUCAAUUAAGUCUGAUGUGAAAGCCCCCGGCUCAACCGGGGAGGGUCAUUGGAAACUGGUUGACUUGAGUGCAGAAGAGGAGAGUGGAAUUCCAUGUGUAGCGGUGAAAUGCGUAGAUAUAUGGAGGAACACCAGGGGCGAGGGCGACUCUCUGGUCUGUAACUGACGCUGAGGCUCGAAAGCGUGGGUAGCAAACAGG